AUGCUUGCCGCCGGCGUGCGUGAUGGCGGCUCUCAGCAGCUCCGCCUUGUCGAAGCGCCGGGUGAUGCCCAGCCAUAUCCUGGUCUUGAACUCCACCUUGAUGGCCUCCUGCGCGAAGACCUUCCUGGCGAGGGUGCUCUUGCCCAUGCCGCCCGGGCCGACGAUGGACACCACCUUCACCCUGGCGGAUGCCAUGUCGUGGCCGUGGCUGGUGAGCUUGUGCACCAACUCCAUUGUGUCCAUCUCGAACUUGUCCCCCACGAUGGAUGA
rnacentral:rRNA from 1 species